rnacentral:tRNA from 1 species
ACCUAACUGGCUCAGUUGGUAGAGCAUGAGGCUCUUGAUCUCGGGAUUAUGAGUUCAAGCCCCAUGUUGAGUG